rnacentral:rRNA from 1 species
UACAGGGGGCGCGAGCGUUGCUCGGAAUCACUGGGCGUAAAGCGUACGCAGGCGGGUUUCUUAGUUUGUUGCGAAAUCCCGGGGCUCAACCCCGGAACUGCGAUGAAGACUGUCGAUCUUGAGUACGGGAGAGGGGAGCGGAAUUCCUGGUGUAGAGGUGAAAUUCGUAGAUAUCAGGAGGAACACCGGUGGCGAAAGCGGCUCCCUGGCCCGAUACUGACGCUCAUGUACGAAAGCGUGGGGAGCAAACAGG